UUCGCAAUCCCCCAUCCAGCCCCUACACGAGGCUUCGAUAUUUUUCUUAUAUGAUCCAACCCGUUGUGGGUGGUGCCGCUUGCCUGGAGCCUGAGAUGAUUAUGAGACACUUUAGACGAUUUGGGGCAGGGGGAUCAGGCA